rnacentral:rRNA from 1 species
AUGAGGUGCGUUUCUUCGGUUUCUUUCUCCGUUCUGUUUAACGGUGGUAGUUUGGAAGGUUUCAGGCCUACACGUGGACUUCGGCAGGGGGAUCCGAUAUCGCCUUAUCUUUUCCUGAUAGCUGCGGAGGGCUUAUCGUGCCUUUUGAAGUCUAAUAUUGGGGUUCAGGGUAUAGCAGUGGCGCCUGAAGCCCCUCUGGUUAAUCACCUUCUUUUCGCUGAUGACAGUCUACUCUUUUUUGAGGCAAACGAUGAGGCUGCCACAAGGGUUAAUGGUCUGUUGAGAGUAUACUGUGAUGCUUCGGGGCAGAGAAUCAAUGUGGAAAAUUCGUCAAUCUAUUUUAGCAAGGGGGUCGCGGAUUCAGCAAGAGGAUCAAUCAUGAAUAUACUUGAUGUACACAAUGAGUCGUUAACUGAGAAGUAUUUGGAUUUGCCAUCAGAUGUGGGCAGAGCAAAGGAAGGCUCUUUUAAAUAUCUGAAGGACCGAAUCUGGAAACAUGUU